CCUACGGGUGGCUGCAGUGAGGAAUAUUGGUCAAUGGACGCAAGUCUGAACCAGCCAUGCCGCGUGCAGGAAGACGGCUCUAUGAGUUGUAAACUGCUUUUGUACGAGGGUAAACGCAGAUACGCGUAUCUGUCUGAAAGUAUCGUACGAAUAAGGAUCGGCUAACUCCGUGCCAGCAGCCGCGGUAAUACGGAGGAUGCGAGCGUUAUCCGGAUUCAUUGGGUUUAAAGGGUGCGCAGGCGGGCCUUUAAGCCGGCGGUGAAAUCGCGGGGCUCAACCCCGCCGAGCAGUCGGAACUGGGGACCUUGAGUGCGGCGGAGGCGUGCGGAAUGCGAGGUGUAGCGGUGGAAUGCAUAGAUAUAGCGCAGAACCCCGAUUGCGAAGGCAGCGUGCCGUGCCGCAACUGACGCUGAGGCACGAAAGCGCGGGGAUCGAACAGGAUUAGAUACCCGGGUAGUC
rnacentral:rRNA from 1 species